rnacentral:rRNA from 1 species
AAGCAUCUAAGCGGGAAACUCGCCUCAAGAUGAGACUUCCCAGGGGGUUAACCCCUCUAAAGGUUCGUCGAAGACGACGACGUUGAUAGGCAGGGUGUGGAAGCGCAGUAAUGCGUUAAGCUAACCAGUACUAAUUGCCCGUGCGGCUUGAUCCU